GAACGCUGGCGGCGUGCUUAACACAUGCAAGUCGAGCGGAAAGGCCCUUCGGGGUACUCGAGCGGCGAACGGUGAGUAACACGUGAGCAACCUGCCCCUGACUCUGGGAUAAGCCCGGGAAACUGGGUCUAAUACCGGAUACGACCGCUUCCCGCAUGGGAUGGCGGUGGAAAGUUUUUUCGGUUGGGGAUGGGCUCGCGGCCUAUCAGUUGUUGGUGGGGUAGUGGCCUACCAAGGCGACGACGGGUAGCCGGCCUGAGAGGGCGACCGGCCACACUGGGACUGAGACACGGCCCAGACUCCUACGGGAGGCAGCAGUGGGGAAUAUUGCGCAAUGGGCGAAAGCCUGCAGCGACGCCGCGUGGGGGAUGACGGUCGGGUUGUAAACCUCUUUCAGCAGGGACGAAGUUGACGUGUACCUGCAGAAGAAGCGCCGGCUAACUACGUGCCAGCAGCCGCGGUAAUACGUAGGGCGCAAGCGUUCCGGAAUUAUUGGGCGUAAAGAGCUCGUAGGUGGCUU
rnacentral:rRNA from 1 species